GGUCCAUAAUCCAUUUACCAAUUUAAAACCAACACAUUUAUUUAUAGUCGAAUUGAGGUGGUCCAUAAUCCUUAUGCCAAGAUAAGCAUUAAACUAGUCAGCUAGAAACGAGAAUCCGAAUCAUAAACCGGGGCGGGCCCCACCACCUCAACUAGCUCCGCCGUAUCGCCGCUAGGUCACACGCUCAACAACCGUUACCUUACUUCAAUUAAUAACAAACUUUUAACCAGCAGAUCUCUCACCGCAAAAUUCCGAUUCUGGCAACACCGUCGAUGGCGAUGGAAGACAACGAAAGCUGCGGCAGCAGAGCGGUGGAAUCGCCGAAAAAGAGCAAACAACGACGCCAGAAACUGGAGGUGUUUAACGACGUUCUCACUCGAUUGUACGAUAUGAAUUAUGAAGAUACUCAACAGGCUGAUUUCGAAGAUCAGCUAUGGAAUCACUUCAAUCGCCUUCCUCCUAGAUAUGCGUUGGAUGUGAACGUGGAGAGAGCGGAGGAUGUGAUCACGCAUAAAAGAGUUUUGCAGAUGGCUGAAGACCCUGUUAAUAGACCUGCAUUUGAAGUCAGAUUAGUGCAGGUUCAUCCUACCUCAGAUGGGAAUACACCUGAUGUGGACAGUGUGGAUUUGUCAAUAAAAGAAGAUGCUCAAAGUACUUCGACUUACAAUAGAAGCGGAUUGCAUCCCCCACCAUCUUUUGGUUCAGCACAAAAUCUUGAAGAGCGUGCAAGUAAAGCCACUAGACAUUCAGAUGGUUAUACCGCUGAUGAUCUGAAUACAACUUCAGUGUCUUCUAGGCCUAUGCAUGAGAUCACUUUUUCAACGAUCGACAGACCAAAACUCCUGAGUCAGUUGACUUCUUUACUUUCCGAGGCUGGAUUAAACAUUCAAGAAGCACACGCUUUCUCCACUGCUGAUGGCUUCUCAUUGGAUGUCUUUGUUGUUGACGGAUGGCCGCACGAGGAAACGGAACAGCUCAAAAAUGCAAUAGCAAAGGAGAUAAUGAAGGCUAAGGGGGAAGCUCAUAACGACAAAAAAUCUUCAUCCACUAGUUGCAAAAAUAUUCCAACAUCAAGUGAACCCAUGGUGUCAAAUGAUCAUGUAAAAAUACCUACUGAUGGAACUGAUGUAUGGGAAAUUGAUGCAAAGCUGCUGAAAUUCGAAAAUAAAGUCGCAUCUGGCACCUUUGGCGAUCUGUAUAAAGGCACAUAUUGUAGUCAAGAAGUGGCUAUUAAAGUUCUUAAACCAGAACGAAUAGAUGCAGAUAUGCUAAGAGAAUUCUCUCAGGAAGUAUUUAUUAUGAGGAAGAUAAGACAUAAGAAUGUUGUUCAAUUUAUUGGAGCAUGUACAGAACCUACAAAACUCUGCAUAGUAACUGAGUUCAUGGCACAAGGGAGCAUAUAUAACUUUCUGCACAAGCAAAAUGGUUCAUUUAAGCUUCCUUUGUUACUGAAGAUAGCAAUCGAUAUAUCCAAAGGCAUGAGUUACCUGCAUCAAAACAAUAUUAUCCACAGAGACUUGAAAACCGCCAAUCUUCUAAUGGAUGAGCACGACGUUGUGAAAGUUGCUGAUUUCGGAGUUGCAAGGGUGCAGACUGAAUCUGGAGUAAUGACGGCAGAAACCGGAACAUACAGGUGGAUGGCACCCGAGUUGUUAUGAAUUGAAGGUUAUCGAGCACAAACCGUAUGAUCAUAAAGCUGAUGUGUUCAGUUUCGCGAUAGUGCUAUGGGAGCUUCUAACAGGCGAAGUUCCCUAUUCAUACUUAACACCAUUACAAGCAGCAGUUGGUGUGGUACAACAGGGUUUACGGCCUACAAUCCCGAAGCAGACUCAUCCCAAGCUGGCAGAACUGCUCGAGUGUUGCUGGCGACAUGACCCGACACUGAGACCCAACUUCACUGAAAUUCUAGACAAAUUAAAGCAUUUAGCAAAAGAGGUUGGUAACGGAGGGGAGGGGCAGAAGGACAAAUCACUUGGCGGAUUUUUCUCGAGUUUUAAGAAGGGGCAUCACUAAAAUAGAUGCAGUACAAAUUCCAGUGAUUGUUGUUUUUUCCAAGAAAUAUUUACUUGUUCCUGAUGAUGACUUGUGUUCCUGAGUUGGAUACAUAAAUUAAAUUAGACGCAGUCUAAGACGGACCGGACUAAUUUAAGACGAGUGAUUAGUUGCAUUGGUCUUUUAGAUGCAUACAUAUUGAACGAUUUGAUCAUUUUACUCGGUUUGUUUUUAUAUGAA